rnacentral:rRNA from 1 species
UACGUAGGGGGCAAGCGUUGUCCGGAAUCAUUGGGCGUAAAGAGCGCGUAGGCGGUCCGGUAAGUCCGCUCUGAAAGUCCGGGGCUCAACCCCGGGAGGCGGGCGGAUACUGUCGGGCUAGAGUCCGGAAGAGGCGAGUGGAAUUCCUGGUGUAGCGGUGAAAUGCGCAGAUAUCAGGAGGAACACCAGCGGCGAAGGCGGCGCUCUGGGCCGGUACUGACGCUGAGGAGCGAAAGCGUGGGUAGCAAACAGG